UACGUAGGGUGCAAGCGUUGUCCGGAAUUAUUGGGCGUAAAGAGCUCGUAGGCGGUUUGUUGCGUCGGCUGUGAAAUCCCGAGGCUCAACCUCGGGUCUGCAGUCGAUACGAGCAAAACUAGAGUGUUGCAGGGGAGACUGGAAUUCCUGGUGUAGCGGUGAAAUGCGCAGAUAUCAGGAGGAACACCGGUGGCGAAGGCGGGUCUCUGGGCAACAACUGACGCUGGAGGAGCGAAAGCCGUGGGGAGCGAACAGG
rnacentral:rRNA from 1 species